AAGUCGUAACAAGGUUUCCGUAGGUGAACCUGCGGAAGGAUCAUUAUCACGUAUCCACGUUAUAAACCAAUUGUGAACUGUCUUUAACCUUUGACGAUCUAGCUGAAUAGACCUACUCAUUGUGUGAUUUUGAGUAACUGUUCGUUUUGUGGUCUGCUUUCGGGCAACACAUGAUAUGGCUUUAUUGUUGAAGUGUAUUUAAAUCACACUUUUAAAACCUAUUAACCACUUGAACCAAAUUAAUUAUUAUCUUUGUUUGAACUGAUUUGUUUCUUACUCGACUAGAAAUAGUUGAGAAGA
rnacentral:misc_RNA from 1 species